rnacentral:rRNA from 1 species
AGACCCGAAACCCGGUGAUCUAGCCAUGGGCAGGUUGAAGGUUGGGUAACACUAACUGGAGGACCGAACCGACUAAUGUUGAAAAAUUAGCGGAUGACCUGUGGCUGGGGGUGAAAGGCCAAUCAAACCGGGAGAUAGCUGGUUCUCCCCGAAAGCUAUUUAGGUAGCGCCUCGUGAAUUCAUCUCCGGGGGUAGAGCACUGUUUCGGCUAGGGGGCCAUCCCGGCUUACCAACCCGAUGCAAACUGCGAAUACCGGAGAAUGUUAUCACGGGAGACACACGGCGGGUGCUAACGUCCGUCGUGAAGAGGGAAACAACCCAGACCGCCAGCUAAGGUCCCAAAGUCAUGGUUAAGUGGGAAACGAUGUGGGAAGGCCCAGACAGCCAGGAUGUUGGCUUAGAAGCAGCCAUCAUUUAAAGAAAGCGUAAUAGCUCACUGGUCGAGUCGGCCUGCGCGGAAGAUGUAACGGGGCUAAACCAUGCACCGAAGCUGCGGCAGCGACGCUUAUGCGUUGUUGGGUAGGGGAGCGUUCUGUAAGCCUGUGAAGGUGGCCUGUGAGGGUUGCUGGAGGUAUCAGAAGUGCGAAUGCUGACAUAAGUAACGAUAAAGCGGGUGAAAAGCCCGCUCGCCGGAAGACCAAGGGUUCCUGUCCAACGUUAAUCGGGGCAGGGUGAGUCGACCCCUAAGGCGAGGCCGAAAGGCGUAGUCGAUGGGAAACAGGUUAAUAUUCCUGUACUUGGUGUUACUGCGAAGGGGGGACGGAGAAGGCUAUGUUGGCCGGGCGACGGUUGUCCCGGUUUAAGCGUGUAGGUGUGUGUUCCAGGUAAAUCCGGUUCACUUUAACACUGAGGCGUGAUGACGAGGCACUACGGUGCUGAAGCAACAAAUGCCCUGCUUCCAGGAAAAGCCUCUAAGCAUCAGGUAACAUCAAAUCGUACCCCAAACCGACACAGGUGGUCAGGUAGAGAAUACCAAGGCGCUUGAGAGAA